rnacentral:rRNA from 1 species
ACAGAGGCGGCAAGCGUUGUUCGGAAUUAUUGGGCGUAAAGAGCACGUAGGCGGCCUUGCAAGUCAGUUUUGAAAGCCUUCCUCUUAACGGAAGAACUUCAUCUGAUACUACAGGGCUUGAUUACGGGAGGGGAGAGUGGAACUUCUGGUGGAGAGGUGAAAUGCGUAGAUAUCAGAAGGAAAAUCGGCGGCGAAAGAGACUCUCUGGCAAGUAACUGACGCUGAGGUGCGAAAGAUAGGGGAGCAAAAGG